CACAACACUCCUGGCAAUAAAGGCAGCACAUGCAUUCUCUUAGUAAAAACAGCUGGAAGUCUUAUCCUUCUUUUCCUGAUACCUUUGAAUUGCUUGUGGCACAGGGACCACAACUGGAGGUCCCACCGAGGUCCAGAGAGACUUGGAAAGACUGGGAAAGGUUGACCAGAAAGAAGACUCAGGAGAGGAGAGACUCAAGAAAGAAAAGAAUUGAAAGCAGCUGGUCUCAGGUGGGAAAGAAGCAAAGCAGCUGAAGCUGACAUGCACUCCACACGACACAGAUCGGCAAGUACCCCUUGCAUGAGAAACCAAGAGUACCCAGCCUAAAGAGUUCUGAUCUACUUAAUCUCCAUAGUGCUGCCUGUGUGAUAAUAGGUGCAGAACCAUCUGCAGGAUCGUGAGUAAUGGUUCAGCAUACCUGUCCAACAGAAAACUUACUCUACCAACCUGUCAAUUGCCAAUGGCUUCUCAGCUGAGAGUGAGAUGUCAUGAACCUGGUCAUCCAGUUUCCAUCUAGAUAGGUCUUUUGCAAACAGUCCCAGCUUCUAUGAGUUCCUGUGUGUUGGAGCACUGUCAUGCCUGGUAAAUACUAUUUCAUUGCAGACAUCCACUAACUGUGGUGUUACAAGCAGUAAUUUUCUUCUGAAAUGAUCCCUGAGCAUUGUGAGAAGAAUGUGUGACAUAUAUGUCUCAUUUGGGGAUGGGCAUUUCAUGCUUUUUUAGUCUCUAAACUUUGACCAGUUGUGAUCUGCACUAAUCACUACAACCCAGAUAGCAUUUUGAAAAGGGUUUACUAUUAGGUCUCCGUGCUCAUACACACUCUUCUGUCAUGCCUUCCCAUAACUCACUCCCAUUCACCCUUUUCAUUCCUUUAAUUCUCCUUUCUCUUUUACACACCUGCAUUCUAGCUCCCUCUAUUUGAAAUACCAUCUCAUGACUCCUUAAUGGUGUCCUGCCUUCUAUGGGUACUCCGAUUUAUAUCAAAAUUGGACAGGACAAGAGAAAAAUUAAAAGCCUCAAGACCUGGCAGAAUCAUCAGAGGUCCACUUGUUCACACAGUGAGGAGUCCCCUAAAUGGACUAAACUGAAAUAUUUAGUAUAUGGAGGGAACCUGGUGAAGGCCUGUGAAGGCCCGAUAAUUGUUGUUUCAGUUUCAAUGAGUUCCUGUGAGGCUUGCUCAAUUGUUUUAUAGGAUCUUGUUCUUCUGUUACCCUCCAUCCUGUAUGUCUUCCCUACUCUUUCUGCCUCCUUUUCCAUAGGGUUCCCUAAACUGUAGUGGUAGGGGAUUUGAUGGAAGCAUUUCUGUAACAUGAAUAAUAAAAUCCUAGAUAUGUAUAUUGGGGUUCAAACCAAAGAUUAGGGAAGCAAAGCAGCCAACCAGUGGCUCUUACCGCUACCAAGGCUGAAAUUAGAUAUCCUGUCUUCCCUGUGUCUGGAAGCUAAUCUCUUCCUGUCCUCAACAUGGCUGGAAACUAAUUGCCAUA